UACGGAGGGUGCGAGCGUUGUCCGGAAUCACUGGGCGUAAAGCGCGCGUAGGCGGCCCUGUAAGUCCGUUGUGAAAGUCAAAGGCUCAACCUUUGAAAGCCGGUGGAUACUGUCGGGCUAGAGUCCGGAAGAGGCGAGUGGAAUUCCUGGUGUAGCGGUGGAAUGCGCAGAUAUCAGGAGGAACACCGAUAGCGAAGGCAGCUCGCUGGGACGGUACUGACGCUGAGGUGCGAAAGCGUGGGGAGCGAACAGG
rnacentral:rRNA from 1 species